rnacentral:rRNA from 1 species
GAUGAACGCUGGCGGCGUGCCUAAUACAUGCAAGUCGAGCGAACAGACGAGGAGCUUGCUCCUCUGACGUUAGCGGCGGACGGGUGAGUAACACGUGGAUAACCUACCUAUAAGACUGGGAUAACUUCGGGAAACCGGAGCUAAUACCGGAUAACAUGUUGAACCGCAUGGUUCAACAGUGAAAGACGGUCUUGCUGUCACUUAUAGAUGGAUCCGCGCCGCAUUAGCUAGUUGGUAAGGUAACGGCUUACCAAGGCAACGAUGCGUAGCCGACCUGAGAGGGUGAUCGGCCACACUGGAACUGAGACACGGUCCAGACUCCUACGGGAGGCAGCAGUAGGGAUUCUUCCGCAAUGGGCGGAAGCCUGACGGAGCAACGCCGCGUGAGUGAUGAAGGUCUUCGGAUCGUAAAACUCUGUUAUUAGGGAAGAACAAAUGUGUAAGUAACUAUGCACGUCUUGACGGUACCUAAUCAGAAAGCCACGGCUAACUACGUG